AUUCCAGGAUGAGGGCACUUUCAUAAUUACUCUUUGUACCUUUCACAUACCUCAUACAAGGACUCUUCAUCCAUUUGUUGGAAGGCAGUGAUCUCGUUCCUCAACUU
rfam:Gossypium hirsutum cultivar TM-1 chromosome 11, whole genome shotgun sequence